rnacentral:lncRNA from 1 species
AUUGAUCGGAUCAUAUUUAUAUAUAUUUUUACUUCGAAUUCACUCGUCUUUUCUUAGUUAGUUCCUUAUAUUUUUGAGCUAUUUACGUUAUUUUUGUGUUUAUAGGAUUUGUUAUGCAAAGAAAAUAAAAAUAGAACAAGUGAAAUUUUAUGUAAUAAAUUCGUCAAACUGUCUGUGUAGAUCAUCUUUUAAAUAAAAUUAAUAAAAGAAAUAAUAAUGAUAAAUCAUGAUGAUGUUUGAAACAUCAUCAUGAUUCAUGUUUUGUUGCAGAAAAAAUAAGAGGAAGUCCACAGCGUCGGUGGGGAAGAGGGAACGCAGAAAGGAAGUAUUUCGUAUAAAGUGAUGAGCAAUUUUUAAUGAGAUGGGUGCUCUUCCUAGACGUGGCAGCGUGAAAGAAUCCAAGGAGAGGCACAGAAAAACGGUGCGGGGGAUAGAAAAUGGAAAAAGAAUAGAGAGAGACUGACGGGUGGAGAGAGCAGCAACAAAGGCAUGAGGGAAAUAAUAAAAUAAGAAGAGAAAUGUGACAGCACAAAAGAAAAAAAGAAGAAAUAUAUGAAAGACAAGGGGGAAUAAGCGCGGGUGCGCACGGGAGAAGGGACUGCCCUUUGGGCAGUUCGCAGAGGAGACAGAAACAGAGGUCAGAAACGGAGAGAAGGGAAGGGGAGAGCUGCGGGGCAGCUGGAGAGACAGGAGUGAGGGACGGAUAGAAGCUGCCUUUGGCAGCUUGAGAGACAGCUGGCGGGGAGAAAGAGAAGAAAGGCUGCCUUUGCAACCUUGAAAAACAGAAGCAAAGCAAGCUGCCUUAGGCAGCGAGAGAAAGAAAGGCAGCUCGCGGGGAGAAAGAGAAGAAAGGCUGCCCUUGCAGCCUUGAAAGACAGAAGGAGCAAGCUGCCUUCUCUCUCGGUUAAAUCCUUCCAAACUUCUAUUUUAUUUUUGUGUUAAUAAUGUGUAAUUAAAUUUAUUUUGGCUAGAGGUUAAUUCAAAGCCAUGAAUAUAUUUGUAAUAUGAAUUGAUUACCUUCGGUUGUGAUUUCAUAAGUUGUGAUUUCAAUUUACUUAUCCGUUCGUAUAAAAACUGAUUUGUGUAUGUUGGUUGAGAGUGC